GAUAAGGUUAAGUGAAUAAGGGCGCACGGUGGAUGCCUUGGCACUAGGAGCCGAUGAAGGACGGGACUAACACCGAUAUGCUUUGGGGAGCUGUACGUAAGCUAUGAUCCAGAGAUUUCCGAAUGGGGGAACCCAGCAUCUUUAAUAGGAUGUUACGAUUGUGUGAAUACAUAGCACAUUCGAGGUAGACGCAGAGAACU
rnacentral:rRNA from 1 species